rnacentral:rRNA from 1 species
GAUGAACGCUGGCGGCGUGCCUAAUACAUGCAAGUCGAGCGAACGGACGAGGAGCUUGCUCCUCUGAUGUUAGCGGCGGACGGGUGAGUAACACGUGGAUAACCUACCUAUAAGACUGGGAUAACUUCGGGAAACCGGAGCUAAUACCGGAUAAUAUUUUGAACCGCAUGGUUCAAUAGUGAAAGACGGUCUUGCUGUCACUUAUAGAUGGAUCCGCGCUGCAUUAGCUAGUUGGUAAGGUAACGGCUUACCAAGGCGACGAUGCAUAGCCGACCUGAGAGGGUGAUCGGCCACACUGGAACUGAGACACGGUCCAGACUCCUACGGGAGGCAGCAGUAGGGAAUCUUCCGCAAUGGGCGAAAGCCUGACGGAGCAACGCCGCGUGAGUGAUGAAGGUCUUCGGAUCGUAAAACUCUGUUAUUAGGGAAGAACAUAUGUGUAAGUAACUAUGCACGUCUUGACGGUACCUAAUCAGAAAGCCACGGCUAACUACGUG